rnacentral:lncRNA from 1 species
UUUUUUUUAAAUAUAAGAAAGUUUCAUUAGAAAAGUGUUAAAACCCAUUACAUCUAAGUUCAAAAAUAAACAAACUAAAACAUACAUACCUAUGAAAAAAACCUAACCAAGACCAAGCCCAACCCUCCUUAAUAAAAGGUUCAAAGCCCAAACAAACAAGUCUUGAAAGAGAUAACCCUAAGAAGCCAGUUAAUCCGAAAAGGGGGAAGUAUCCGACAAGCCCACAUCUUGUGCGCCACUCGAGAAACUUCGUCAACGCUGCAGCAGCCUAGAGAAACCAUUAUGGAUGACCAAAAACUAUUCUCCAACAACCUCAAACUACCAAAAGAAGUGACUUUAAGAGAACUAGAGGGAUAGCAACCAAACACUUAUGGCACAUAUGAUGGCAAGAUCAUAUCAAAAGCAUCAACAAAAGCACAACACAGGAUCUCGAUCUCAACACCUUAACGAACUUCGACAAGGACAAGACAGAAGCAGAGUUCAGAGAUUGGAGCAACCCACCAGAAGGGCAUUGUAAACCUUACUGAGCUAACCAUCCGAGGUGCAUCCCUGGAAUAAAAGCAUCUCUGACCUCCCGAAGCAAGGAUAGCGCUGAGAAAUCAGAUCUGGGACCAUAGAGGCAGAUGAACCUGCAUGCAAGACCAACUAAACAUCCAAGACAAGAAAAAGAACACAAGAAUUGCAGAUCUAUAGAUCUCUUGCCCAUUCACUGCCAGAUCUGCUAUUCCCAAACCAAGAAAAGCAAGAAAUAAAAACAACCGCUGAGAAGUGGGGAGGAUACCCACACUCUGGGCGAUGAGGAAGAAGCUACCGCUUCCUGGGCUGUAGGGGAGGAGACUAAGUUCCGAAAACCAGAAAAGAUUCAGUGGAAAAAUCCCUCCCUAGAAACUAGAGGGCGGAGAAAAAUAUUUAAGCUUAUGGUUUGUUGAAAGCAAGAUGAUCCUCUCUUUAUUUGCAUAUCUACGGGACUUGAACAUGCACACAACUAACUAUCAAUACUUUUUGUAGCCAAGAUUUACUAAAUACCCUUAUUUGUUUUCAUCAUCACUUUUUUUAUAUACUUUUUUUUUUCAGUAACGGAUAUAGAAUUUCAAAAUAGGCUAUACUUGGCAAUGUCUAUGUAUUUUUGUUCGUAUUGAUGAACAAUUUUGCUUUAUUUUUUUGCAUUUAAGUGGUA